AUUGAACGCUGGCGGCAGGCCUAACACAUGCAAGUCGAACGAGUGGCGGACGGGUGAGUAAUGUAUGGGAACGUGCCUGGUAGAGGGGGAUAACUACUGGAAACAGUGGCUAAUACCGCAUACUAUUGGAUCGGCCGAUAUCGGAUUAGCUAGUUGGUGGGGUAAAGGCUAACCAAGGCGACGAUCCGUAGCUGGUCUGAGAGGAUGAUCAGCAACACUGGGACUGAGACACGGCCCAGACUCCUACGGGAGGCAGCAGUGGGGAAUUUUGGACAAUGGGCGCAAGCCUGAUGCAGCCAUGCCGAGUGUAUGAAGAAGGCCUUCGGGUUGUAAAGGACUUUUGUUAGGGAAGCGGUACCUGCAGAAUAAGCACCGGCUAACUACGUGCCAGCAGCCGCGGUAAUUC
rnacentral:rRNA from 1 species